UUGCUUACAACUCAGAAGGUAAAAGUAACCCAAGUGAAAUAGUAGAAUUCACUACAUGCCCUGAUAAACCAGGAGUACCUAUAAAGCCUUCAGUUAAAGGAAAGAUACAUUCACACAGUUUUAAAAUAACUUGGGACCCACCAAAAGACAAUGGAGGGGCAGCUAUCAAUAAAUACGUAGUGGAGAUGGCAGAAGGUUCUAAUGGAAACAAAUGGGAUAUGAUAUACAGUGGAGCUACUAGGGAACAUCUUUGUGAUCGACUGAAUCCAGGCUGUUUCUAUCGUUUAAGAGUUUACUGCAUCAGUGAUGGAGGACAGAGUGCGGUAAUACUUACACAGAGAUUUUUUUUUCAAGUUUGGUCAAAUGAGAUGAGAUCACCAGAUGCCACUUCAUAUAUUGAAAUGUAUUCACAAAUGUAUAAAAGUAGUAUCUGUAACCCAGGUGGUUAAUUUUAUAGUGACCAGAAUAUAGUGACCACUUAGCUCACAGCCUAUAAUCCAUGAAUACCUGUUUUCUACUUGGUAUUGAGCUUUGGAAAAAACAAGUAAAUGAAAACAUUGCAGAAAAUUGUAAAAGAUAAAUUUAAGGAUGAUGCUCAAUAACCAUACCAAAUAGAAAUAAAAUAAUUGUAGACUGAUUUACUGCUUCAUAAAUUAUGUAUAUUAGGACAAACUAUAAAAUAUCAUUU